rnacentral:piRNA from 1 species
ACCCCUCACCUGAGUGGAUUCGAUCUUGG